GUCGAACGAUUAAAGCUCUCUUCGGAGAGUGUAUAGAGUGGCGCACGGGUGAGUAACACGUAAGUAAUCUACCCUCGAGUGGGGAAUAACGUUCGGAAACGAACGCUAAUACCGCAUAAUGCAGCGGCAUCGCAAGAUGACAGUUGUUAAAGGAGUAGUUCGCUUGAGGAGGAGCUUGCGGCAGAUUAGCUUGUUGGUAAGGUAACGGCUUACCAAGGCUACGAUCUGUAUCCGGUCUAAGAGGACGGUCGGACACACUGACACUGAAUAACGGGUCAGACUCCUACGGGAGGCAGCAGUCGGGAAUUUUGGGCAAUGGGCGAAAGCCUGACCCAGCAACGCCGCGUGAAGGAUGAAGUAUUUCGGUAUGUAAACUUCGAAAGAAUGGGAAGAAUAAAUGACGGUACCAUUUAUAAGCUCCGGCUAACUACGUGCCAGCAGCCGCGGUAAUACGUAGGGAGCAAGCGUUGUUCGGAUUUACUGGGCGUAAAGGGCGCGUAGGCGGCGCGGUAAGUCACUUGUGAAAUCUCUGAGCUUAACUCAGAACGGCCAAGUGAUACUGCAGUGCUAGAGUGCAGAAGGGGCAAUCGGAAUUCUUGGUGUAGCGGUGAAAUGCGUAGAUAUCAAGAGGAACACCUGAGGUGAAGACGGGUUGCUGGGCUGACACUGACGCUGAGGCGCGAAAGCCAGGGGAGCAAACGGGAUUAGAUACCCCGGUAGUCCUGGCCCUAAACGAUGAAUACUUGGUGUCUGGAGUUUCAAGACUUCGGGUGCCGUCGCUAACGUUUAAAGUAUUCCGCCUGGGGGAGUACGCUCGCAAGAGUGAAACUCAAAGGAAUUGACGGGGACCCGCACAAGCGGUGGGAGCAUGUGGUUU
rnacentral:rRNA from 1 species